rnacentral:lncRNA from 1 species
CUUCAUGGGUCCAGUUCAGCCAGCUGGACCCGGUCCAUUUACAGCCUUACUUGCAGUAUGUAUUAUUCGAACUUUGAACAUUUUACUCGACUUUUAAAUAAAAUAAAAUCAAGCGUGGACAAUUGGGCAUAGCGCAUAGGAUCAGCAUCUAUAAUACUAUUGGCAUUUGUCGAGUUAGGGUUUUUUAAAUACAGACUAAUUGUCAAUAUUAUUGACAAAAGUCAAAUCAAAAUAAUCUGUUUUUAAAAUUUUAUGUGGAGAAAAUUUUAAAUAACCACAACAUAAAUUUUGUACUAUAUUAAAUAGG